rnacentral:rRNA from 1 species
GAGUUUGAUCCUGGCUCAGGAUGAACGCUAGCGACAGGCUUAACACAUGCAAGUCGAGGGGCAGCGGUGGUGAAGGCUUGCCUUUACCAGCCGGCGACCGGCGCACGGGUGAGUAACACGUAUGCAACCUGCCUGCCACAGCCGGAUAAUCGGGAGAAAUUCCGUCUAAUACGGCAUAAUGCAUCGACGGGACAUCCUGUUGGUGCCAAAGGUUAAUUCCGGUGGCGGAUGGGCAUGCGUCGCAUUAGUUAGUUGGCGGUGUAACGGACCACCAAGACGACGAUGCGUAGGGGUUCUGAGAGGAAGGUCCCCCACACUGGUACUGAGACACGGACCAGACUCCUACGGGAGGCAGCAGUGAGGAAUAUUGGUCAAUGGGCGGGAGCCUGAACCAGCCAAGUCGCGGGAGGGAUGACGGCCCUAUGGGUUGUAAACCUCUUUUGCCGGGGAGCAAAGUGCCGCACGUGUGCGGUUUGGAGAGUACCCGGAGAAAAAGCAUCGGCUAACUCCGUGCCAGCAGCCGCGGUAAUACGGAGGAUGCGAGCGUUAUCCGGAUUUAUUGGGUUUAAAGGGUGCGUAGGCGGACGCUUAAGUCAGCGGUAAAAUUGCGGGGCUCAACCUCGUCGAGCCGUUGAAACUGGGUGCCUUGAGUGGGCGAGAAGUACGCGGAAUGCGUGGUGUAGCGGUGAAAUGCAUAGAUAUCACGCAGAACUCCGAUUGCGAAGGCAGCGUACCGGCGCCCAACUGACGCUGAAGCACGAAGGCGUGGGUAUCGAACAGGAUUAGAUACCCUGGUAGUCCACGCAGUAAACGAUGAAUGCUAGUUGUCCGGGGCGAUUGAGUUCUGGGUGACACAGCGAAAGCGUUAAGCAUUCCACCUGGGGAGUACGCCGGCAACGGUGAAACUCAAAGGAAUUGACGG